rnacentral:tRNA from 1 species
GGAGAGAUGGCAGAGUGGUCGAUCGCGCACGCUUGGAAAGCGUGUGUCCCUUUACCGGGACCGCGGGUUCGAAUCCCGCUCUCUCCGCCA